UACGGGGGGGGCAAGCGUUGUUCGGAAUUACUGGGCGUAAAGGGCUUGUAGGUGGCCAACUAAGUCAGACGUGAAAUCCCCGGGCUCAACCCGGGAACUGCGUCCGAUACUGGCAGGCUUGAAUCCGGGAGAGGGAUGCGGAAUUCCAGGUGUAGCGGUGAAAUGCGUAGAUAUCUGGAGGAACACCGGUGGCGAAGGCGGCAUCCUGGACCGGCAUUGACGCUGAGGCGCGAAAGCCAGGGGAGCAAACGGG
rnacentral:rRNA from 1 species